rnacentral:rRNA from 1 species
AGAGUACGUGAAACCGCUUAGGGGUUAAGCCCGAUGAACCUGAAUAUCUGAAUCGAGAAAUUCAAUACUGUUUUUAUGAAACCAUUUAACCAAUGGUUUUAUGAUGGUAUGCACUUUUCUCGUAGUAGGACAUUGCGAUCCAUUAGUAUGUCUCAUUGCUGAGACGGUUUAUCAAACGGCCCGUAUAAUUUAGUUUGUUCUAUCGGUAAUGACUCGUUCAUUAUACGAACAAUAUUGUUUGCGGUGUCCCGGUAAACGGCUGAUGGAGCUUUACAAUCAUGCCACCAUGCAAAUGUAUCACGGUUUUAUUAAUUUUUUUUUUUAAAAUGCAGUGAUCGCAUGUAUUUGAUUAGCAAUGCGUUAGAUUUGGGAUACCUUCGGGACCCGUCUUGAAACACGGACCAAGAAGUCUAACAUGUGUGCAAGUCAUUGGGUAUUCAAAAACCUAAAGGCAUAAUUAAAAUAACUAUAUUUUAAUGGGAUUACAAGCAAUUGUUUUAUAUAAUUGUUUCUCCAUCCCGGGGCGUUCUAUAUCAAACAUGAUUUGAGCAAUUGGAUCCUCUGUUUGAGAGCGUACCUUGAGCAUACAUGCUGUGACCGA